rnacentral:pre_miRNA from 1 species
CGUGCACCAGUGGGGUCCCUUGGCCUGGCCUGCACUCUCUUGCAAUCCUGGACCCCUCAGGAGAUAUUGGAGAGCUGGUUUGGGCCCGAUCCUGCAGGCCAGGCUGAGGGACCCCACUGGUGCACG